AAAAGUAGAUUAUCCUAAAUGAGAGACACCCUACAUCGGCCACCAUGCCCCAUCUCUCACUUCCGCCGUCCCCCUACCCUCAGCAGCUAGGAUUCCCACCGUUGCCGUCCCCUUGCCCCGCCUCCCCCUGUUCCUUCGUCGAGCCCGCCUCCGUUGCCACUUUCUCCGCGCGUCGGGGAUGCAUACUGCAUCUCCGCCAUCCUCCUCGCGUCCGGGAUGCACACGGCGUCGUGGCUAUCCUCCUCGCGUUGGGUAAGGUGCGGCCGCCACCAUUCCUCCGCAUAGCCAGGGACGGCGCAAGCACCGACGCCCCCGUCCUCAACUGCAUCAGUUCAGCAGAUAGAUUUGGUGUAGUGAUAUAAGUACUGCUACAUGAGGCGAAAACAGCUUGCAAGACAAUGCAGGUAAUUUCCUUUGAUUCUUUCAUAUCCCCAAAUUUCAUUUAUAGCAUCAUCUAUUCAUCUAAUUACUAAUUUCUACAGCUUAAUUUGUAUCCAGUGAAGAAUUGUUGUUAGCACUGGUUAGCAUGACAUCAAUCUGAGUGUAAACUGUAUUUGAGUGAAGCAUUGUUAACAUGAGAACAAUCUAACUGCGUCAAAUUUCCAAUUUAUAUCCACAGUGCGUUAAAAGAAAUUGUAUCUAGUGAAAAAUUGUUGUUAGGAUGAGUGCAUAAUAGCUUUCCUUCAGCCUGUCCUGCCCAGCUAUUUGUUUGUAGCUCUGCUACAGAAACACCCUAAAGUAUUUAAAACUAUAGUAUUUUUAGAAACCACAGUAGUCUCCAAAUACUAAGAAAAAACUUAGUUGCCAAAUAGGCCCUUAGAUUUGCUGUUUCACACAAAUCACUGAAGGGGAGAGUUUAAUUGACAAAUAAGUUUCUCAUUGAAAUAAAUGCAACACUGAACAAGCCACCAAUUAUAUCUUCUAAAUCAUCUACACUAACAAUCCACCCUUCUCCACUAAAAGGAUAUUUUCGUAAAUAACCAAAUAUAACAUGCAACACUGAACAAGGAGAAAAGAUGAUUUCUUCUGAGAGACGUCAAGUUGAUGAACAUGUCGACAAGAUCAUUGAAUUGAAAAUUAAGGUAUUUUGCUUAGUGUGUCCCUCACGCGUUUCUAUGACAUGCAAUUUCUCUCAGGAAGUUACAAUACUUUUGUGGUGAUCAACCAGAAAACCAUUGGUCCUCCAUCCAUCGGUCUCCUAGCUAGAGUAGGGGUACCUAAUUCUGACUUCUUACUACAUGAUUGUUCUAUUUCACUUACAUUUAACAUUGUGACCUGUUUCGGGUUCCAAUAUAGUUCAGAAUGUGGGCCAUCAUGUCACCUGCUGAACUUGGAACAUGAAAGGUGUUUGACAUUAUACAUAACGCUACUCUAUAAGCCAUGAAACAACCAGUUAAGUUUAAGACAAAACCGAUGUAGAAACCAGACUUCCUAUGGCGUGGCUCAGUUGGUAGGCUCUUCUUUCCCAGCCGCUAAAUUUUUAUUUUUGUAUGUCCUCUCUUGUAUAUAAUUAUGGUGCACUUGUCUAUACUACUUAGAUCCCGCAUCCCUUCAAGGUCAAGUCAUGACCUCCGGGUUGGCGUCAAUGCGUCAUGAUGAGCAGAAGUGGAUUAGAUUGUUUGUAGUUCUCGUGCCCCCCUCUGUUUCUUAGUUCAUUAUGCAUGAGUUGAUAACUCCAGCUGUCUCAAAUCUAGUGAUGGUUUUUUUCUCCUGUUGUUGCUUCUACAGGUUCUGAGAAUUUUAUUCAUGGAUCAGGAAAUUCUAAUAUAUGACUUGGUGAAUCUCA